rnacentral:rRNA from 1 species
CUUGCCUACGGGGCGCAGCAGUGAGGAAUAUUGGUCAAUGGGCGGAAGCCUGAACCAGCCAAGUCGCGUGAGGGAUUAAGGCCCUAUGGGUCGUAAACCUCUUUUGUCAGGGAGCAACGCCGGCUACGUGUAGCCGGACUGAGAGUACCUGAAGAAAAAGCAUCGGCUAACUCCGUGCCAGCAGCCGCGGUAAUACGGAGGAUGCGAGCGUUAUCCGGAUUUAUUGGGUUUAAAGGGUGCGUAGGCGGAAUGCCAAGUCAGCGGUAAAAUCGCGGGGCUCAACCUCGCUCCGCCGUUGAAACUGG